UACAGGCUUAACACAUGCAAGUCGAGGGGUAGCAGGGUAGCAAUACCGCUGACGACCGGCGCACGGGUGAGUAACACGUAUCCAACCUUCCCAUAACUCGGGGAUAGCCUUUCGAAAGAAAGAUUAAUACCCGAUAGUACUUUUUUAGGGCAUCUUAGAAAAGUUAAAGAUUUAUUGGUUAUGGAUGGGGAUGCGUUCCAUUAGAUAGUUGGUGAGGUAACGGCUCACCAAGUCUUCGAUGGAUAGGGGUUCUGAGAGGAAGGUCCCCCACAUUGGUACUGAGACACGGACCAAACUCCUACGGGAGGCAGCAGUGAGGAAUAUUGGUCAAUGGGCGAGAGCCUGAACCAGCCAAGUAGCGUGAAGGAUGACGG
rnacentral:rRNA from 1 species